UACGUAGGGGGCAAGCGUUGUCCGGAAUCAUUGGGCGUAAAGAGCGCGUAGGCGGUCCAGUAAGUCCGCUCUGAAAGUCCGGGGCUCAACCCCGGGAGGCGGGCGGAUACUGCUGGGCUAGAGUCCGGAAGAGGCGAGUGGAAUUCCUGGUGUAGCGGUGAAAUGCGUAGAUAUCAGGAGGAACACCGGCGGCGAAGGCGGCCCUCUGGCUCGUUGCUGACGCUGAAACGCGAAAGCGUGGGGAGCAAACAGG
rnacentral:rRNA from 1 species